AACGAACGCUGGCGGCAUGCCUAACACAUGCAAGUCGAACGUGAUCCGGGGCUUCGGUUCCGGUGAAAGUGGCGGACGGAUGAGUAACGCGUGGGAACCUGCCCAGUGGUAGGGGAUAACCGCGGGAAACUGCGGCUAAUACCCUAUGUGCCCUGCGGGGCAAAGAUUCAUCGCCAUUGGAGGGGCCCGCGUCGGAUUAGGUAGUUGGUGGGGUAACGGCCUACCAAGCCAUCGAUCCGUAGCUGGUCUGAGAGGAUGAUCAGCCACACUGGGACUGAGACACGGCCCAGACUCCUACGGGAGGCAGCAGUGGGGAGUAUUGGACAAUGGGGGCAACCCUGAUCCAGCAAUGCCGCGUGAGUGAUGAAGGCCUUAGGGUUGUAAAGCUCUUUCGGCGGGGAAGAUGAUGACGGUACCCGCAGAAGAAGCCCCGGCUAACUUCGUGCCAGCAGCCGCAGUAACAC
rnacentral:rRNA from 1 species